UGGGGAAUAUUGCACAAUGGGCGCAAGCCUGAUGCAGCCAUGCCGCGUGUAUGAAGAAGGCCUUCGGGUUGUAAAGUACUUUCAGUCGGGAGGAAGGUGGUAAGGUUAAUAACCUUAUCAAUUGACGUUACCGACAGAAGAAGCACCGGCUAACUCCGUGCCAGCAGCCGCGGUAAUACGUAGGUGGCAAGCGUUGUCCGGAUUUAUUGGGCGUAAAGCGAGCGCAGGCGGUUGAUUGAGUCAGAUGUGAAAUCCCCGGGCUUAACCCGGGAAUUGCAUCUGAUACUGGUCAGCUAGAGUCUUGUAGAGGGGGGUAGAAUUCCAUGUGUAGCGGUGAAAUGCGUAGAGAUGUGGAGGAAUACCGGUGGCGAAGGCGGCCCCCUGGACAAAGACUGACGCUCAGGUGCGAAAGCGUGGGGAGCAAACAGG
rnacentral:rRNA from 1 species